UCGAGAAUCUUCCGCAAUGGGCGAAAGCCUGACGGAGCAAUGCCGCGUGCAGGAUGAAGGCCUUCGGGUCAUAAACUGCUGUCACCGGGGAUGAAUAAUGACAGUACCCGGGGAGGAAGUCACGGCUAACUACGUGCCAGCAGCCGCGGUAAUACGUAGGUGACGAGCGUUGUUCGGAAUUAUUGGGCGUAAAGGGUUCGUAUGAUGUUUAUUAAGAUUGGUGUGAAAUCCCAAGGCUUAACCUUGGAACUGCAUUGAUUACUGAUGAACUAGAGUAUCGUAGAGGAAAGCGGAAUUCCAGGUGUAGCGGUGGAAUGCGUAGAUAUCUGGAAGAACACCGACAGCGAAGGCAGCUUUCUGGGCUAUAACUGACUCUGAGGAACGAAAGCAUGGGGAGCAAACG
rnacentral:rRNA from 1 species